rnacentral:rRNA from 1 species
CCUACGGGAGGCAGCAGUGAGGAAUAUUGGUCAAUGGACGCAAGCCUGAACCAGCCAUGCCGCGUGCAGGAUGACGGCCCUAUGGGUUGUAAACUGCUUUUGUAUGUGAGUAAAUUGUGCCACGUGUAUGAGUUUGUCUGUAUCCUAUGAAUAAGGAUCGGCUAACUCCGUGCCAGCAGCCGCGGUAAUACGGAGGAUCCGAGCGUUAUCCGGAUUUAUUGGGUUUAAAGGGUGCGUAGGUGGAGUGUUAAGUUAGUUGUGAAAGUUCGGGGCUCAACCGUGAAAUUGCAUUUGAUACUGGCAGACUAGAGUACAGUAGAGGUAGGCGGAAUGUGUGGUGUAGCGGUGAAAUGCUUAGAUAUCAUGCAGAACACCGAUUGCGAAGGCAGGUUACUGGACUAUAACUGACGCUGAGGCACGAAAGCGUGGGGAGCAAACAGGAUUAGAUACCCGUGUAGUC